UACGUAGGGUGCGAGCGUUGUCCGGAAUUACUGGGCGUAAAGAGCUCGUAGGUGGUUUGUCGCGUUGUUCGUGAAAACUCACAGCUUAACUGUGGGCGUGCGGGCGAUACGGGCAGACUGGAGUACUGCAGGGGAGACGUGGAAUUCCGUGGUGUAGCGGUGGGAAUGCGCAGAUAUCAGGAGGAACACCGGUGGCGAAGGCGGGUCGUCUGG
rnacentral:rRNA from 1 species